GGUUGCGAUCAUACCAGCACUAAUGCACCGGAUCCCAUCAGAACUCCGCAGUUAAGCGUGCUUGGGCGAGAGUAGUACUAGGAUGGGUGACCCCCUGGGAAGUCCUCGUGUUGCAAUCCC
rnacentral:rRNA from 1 species